rnacentral:rRNA from 1 species
AUUGAACGCUGGCGGCAGGCCUAACACAUGCCAGUCGAACGAGUGGCGGACGGGUGAGUAAUGUAUGGGGAUCUGCCUUAUAGAGGGGGAUAACUACUGGAAACGGUGGCUAAUACCGCAUACCAUCGGAUGAGCCCAGGUGGGAUUAGCUAGUCGGUGGGGUAACGGCUCACCAAGGCGACGAUCUCUAGCUGGUCUGAGAGGAUGACCAGCAACACGGGGACUGAGACACGGCCCAGACUCCUACGGGAGGCAGCAGUGGGGAAUAUUGCGCAAUGGGGGCAAUCCUGACGCAGCCAUGCCGCGUGAAUGAAGAAGGCCUUCGGGUUGUAAAGUUCUUUCGGUAGCGAGGCGUUAACGACAGAAGAAGGACCGGCUAACUCCGUGCCAGCCGCCGCGGUAAUUC